AAAAAAAAGGAAAGAGGACAAGUUUCUAAAAGGCUUAAAGCCUUAAACAAAUAAAACUAAAAAGCCUGAAGGCUAAAGAGCCGUAACAGAACAAAAGGCUUCAUUCAGCAAAGGCAAAAAGGCUAAGAAUUCUUAUAUGAUAAACUGAAGACGAUCACUACGAACAGAGGCAGAGACUCACGCAGUCAACGAAAAAAAAUUCUAGGGUUCUUCAUAACUCACUUAUUCUUGAACUCAGGUAUGUAAAAUUCCCUAUUGUCAAUUACCCUAUAGUAGUAUUAGCUAAGAAUUGAGUAGCUAAUUCCCUUCUUCCUCUAUAUCAUCAAUAAAUUUCAUAUUUAGGUGUAGUAUUUCAAAAUUGAUUAAAAUACACCGAUUAUUAUAGAAUCGAUUGUUUGACUGGUGUCAACUGGACUGGGGCCUACAUAUUGGCUCGAAAAGUUUUGAAGUGAGUUGAUAUAACCCUUUACUACUCACAAAAGCACACAUAUAAAGUAUUUGAUGAAUUGCUUAAAAGAGUUUAUCUUUAUUUAAUUAGAGUGCGUGAGUACCCAUUAAUCUAGAAUUGUUCUAGCAAAAGUUUAGAUGAUCUAUUAUGUUAUAUGUGCUUAAAUUUUCAUAUUUUUGUGUUAAGAAAGAAUCUUUAGAAAUAUUUUUAUAUAUUUAUUUCAUUCUUAUGCCAUUCUUACAUUUAAGGACACCAAUACAAGCAUGUGCAUAAUAUUCUAUAAAGAAAAGAUUUAGACUUGAGAAGUCACAAGAAGAAGUUUUAGAAUGAAAAGAUUUUUGGGGAGUAUCCUUUAUUCUGAGAAGGGGUCAUCGUCCAGGCCAUUGAAAGGGCACAAGAAGAAGUUUUAGAAAGAAAAGAUUUUUGGGGAGUAUCCUUUAUUUUGAGAAGGGGUCAUCGUCCAGGCCGAGGGUCCUGACAAAGACGUUGACUUCCUGAAACUACUUGUGCCAAAGUAAGGAGCACACGAGCCGAGGGUCUCGUUGCUGAGAAUUUACUUAGCCAUGCUAAGGUAUGAUAAAUGAGCGCUGAGAACCAUGAAGCGAGUGGCACCUCAUGGAUAGGGCCUAUUCGAUCAGGUUGGGAUCGAACCCGUGCCGGUCACACGGUGACUAAGACAGAAUUAAGUCAGGAUAGUUGGAACUCCCAAAUAUAAAGUGAAGUAUUUUUUUUAGAAAGAAAAAGAAAAGAAUUUAUUUUAGAAUAUUCAUAAAUUGCUAUUAUGCAAUUAUUUUAGAAAUUUCGUAUAAGCUUUAUGUUUUACAUGCAUUUAAAACCUUUGCUCAUAAUGUAUAUGUUAUUAAAGUUUCGUCCCUUGUUAUUGAGACUCACUAAGUACAAUGGAUAUAUAAGCUUUAUAUUUAACAUGCAUUUAGAACCUUAGCUCGUGAUGUAUAUGUUAUUAAAAUUUCUUGCCUAUUGUUGAGACUAACUGAUAGAAUGGAUGGUACUGACGUUCUCUUUGGGAACCUACGUUGGUCUGCGGUACAAUGUAGGAACCGGAUUUGCGCGAGCAGGCUACGAGUUAGGACUUCAUAUUGGUGAGCUCCGCUUUUGUUCGUGGAGUACUCUUAGAUUCAUUUUCAUUUAGUUAUUUUCUUGUUUAUUUAGAGAACCGGCCAGAAAAUCUGUGUCUUGAGUAGUGCGUCAGUUUAUCAGUAGAGGCUUCGUAGACAUAGUCACUGGGUUGAGAUUCAAAUGUUAUUUUAUAAUAACUUUGCAGCAAUUCAGUAGUUCCUACGAAUAAAGCUUUGGAGUUGAUCUAUUUAAAUCUUUGAAUUAAUCAAAAGUAU
rnacentral:lncRNA from 1 species